rnacentral:rRNA from 1 species
UCCUACGGGAGGCAGCAGUGGGGGAUAUUGCACAAUGGGGGGAACCCUGAUGCAGCGACGCCGCGUGGGCGAUGGAGCGCCUCGGCGCGUAAAGCCCUAUCAGCAGGGAAGAAGAUGACGGUACCUGACUAAGAAGCCCCGGCUAAAUACGUGCCAGCAGCCGCGGUAAUA